GUGGGGAAUCUUCCGCAAUGGACGAAAGUCUGACGGAGCAACGCCGCGUGAACGAUGACGGCCUUCGGGUUGUAAAGUUCUGUUAUACGGGACGAAUGGUACGACGGCCAAUACCCGUCGUAAGUGACGGUACCGUAAGAGAAAGCCACGGCUAACUACGUGCCAGCAGCCGCGGUAAUACGUAGGUGGCAAGCGUUGUCCGGAAUUAUUGGGCGUAAAGGGCGCGCAGGCAGCGUCGUAAGUCGGUCUUAAAAGUGCGGGGCUUAACCCCGUGAGGGGACCGAAACUGCGAUGCUAGAGUAUCGGAGAGGAAAGCGGAAUUCCUAGUGUAGCGGUGAAAUGCGUAGAUAUUAGGAGGAACACCAGUGGCGAAAGCGGCUUUCUGGACGACAACUGACGCUGAGGCGCGAAAGCCAGGGGAGCAAACGGGAUUAGAAACCCCGGUAGUCC
rnacentral:rRNA from 1 species